UGUGUCCUUUCGGUUUCUGUGAGCAAUUAUCUUCUUUGUCUCCAUUCAUCACCACAAGCGAUAGCGAACAAAUACUGAACUCGCAACAAACAAUACCUCACUCUCUGAACCUCAAUAAUGGAGAUAAUAGAGCACAAGUACAUAGAGGCGAAUGGACUAAAGCAUCACAUAGCUGAGAUAGGAACUCCUGCCUCGCCGGCGGUGUUGUUUCUCCACGGCUUCCCGGAGAUAUGGUACACCUGGCGCCACCAGAUGGCCGCCGUUGCUGCCGCCGGUUUCAGAGCCAUUGCGCCCGAUUAUCGUGGCUACGGACUAUCCGAUCCACCGCCCGAGCCCGAGAAGGCAAGCGUCUCUGAUUUUGUCAGUGACAUGGCUGCCAUCCUUGAUGCUCUCAGCAUUACGAAGGUUUGUGGUGUAUUAUUUGUAUUUAUCGCUAAAAGGUUAUGAUUAAAUCUCUAGAAUGAGUUUAUGAAUUUUGCUUUACACUGAGUCACUGAGGUUGUAGGUAUCCGUGUUAUAUUGGGACGUACAUAUUUUGGUGUCUUAACUGCCCACUUGAAAGUAAGUAUAGUUUCCUUUCUAUAGUAGUAUAGAUUUUUCAUGUGUAUGUGUUUGGCCAUGGGUUCCCAAUACAUGUAGAAGGAAAGGUAAUUGUGGUUUAGCCAGUUACAGUUUUAUGAUAUACCUCUACCACAUAUGCAAAGCAUCGAUCUGAAGAUUCAUUUCUGCUAUUCUCGCACCAAAGUAAGCAAAGAAGUAUGUAGAAUCAGACACCAUUUUUUGUAUUAUUACACUUUACUCUCAAAAUUUCAUUUAGCAAUUUUAUCUAGUUGUUGAAAUUGGGUAGAUACAAGUUUACCUUGUUGGAAUCACGAACAGUUGAAUAUCAAUCUCAAAGGAGUGUUUGCAGCUGUGUGCUCGUAUGUGAAUGAUUCUUUAAGUUUUUAUGUGUAAACAUUCCUUUAUCAAUCAUCUUCCAGCAAUCCCCCUUUGUCUGUUAGUUGAUAAAGCGUCCGCCUCCUUUUAUUUGUUGAUAUGUAGUUAUUUAUGUUACAAUUAGCUUCCCUUUGUGAAUAAACAUACUUUCUGCUGUGAGCGAUCCCUUUGCAACUUUUAAUAUUCCAGAACCCAUUUGUGUUUCAAAAGUUUUAAUGGAGAAGACAAACUGGUAGUUGCUUGCCUUUUAUACAGGAGUGAGUGUUUUCAUCUGUCAAUAAUUACAUCAUCAGAUGCUCAAAUAAGUAGUCCUAAUAAUUUAAGUGAUUUUAAAAGAAAAUGUGAUUUCCAGCUCCUUGUUUACAGGUUUUUGUUAUUGGUCAUGAUUUUGGAGCCACGGUUGCUUACCGGUUUGCCCUUUGCCAUCAAGAGAGGAUCCUUGGAAUUGCAACGCUGGGUGUGCCAUACAUGCCACCACGUCUGCUUGAAGGCCUUAAAACCCUCCCUGAAGGCUUCUAUAUUACAAGAUGGCAGGUAACUAGUAGUUUUCUAUGUUUUGCUUGUUCGGAACACAGUUAUUUUUUGGUGCUUGCAACUUUCCUAUCCCAAUUUAUAUUUAGGAACCUGGACGAGCUGAAGCUGAUUUUGGGCGCCUUGAUGUUAAAACGGUGGUGCGGAACAUUUACAUCCUAUUUUCCAAAAGUGAAAUACCAAUAGCUGCAGAGAACCAAGAGAUUAUGGAAUUGGUGGAGCCAUCUACUCCUCUACCCCCUUGGGUAACGGAGGAAGAUCUUGCAAUCUAUGGGGCUUUGUAUGAGAAAUCUGGAUUCCAAACUGCAUUGCAAGUUCCUUAUAGGUAAUAGGCUGAUCCUACUUUUAUAUGCAAGUUCUCUUUACAUAUAUUAGUUACUUUUUGUCUCUUCCCCAACAACGCUUGUUUUCCACAAUGCUAUACUCUGCUAACAUAGAGCCGAUAGCUGGUAAAUUCUAUAGAGUUAACUAAACAUUGUUUCACCUUAUUACAGAGUGCCUGUUAGUAUGCCUUUUUUCACAUCUGUCAUAACUCCACUCCUAGAUCUGUCAUUUUCAAUUUUGUGCUCUUUUACUGGGAAAUUGGCAAUUGCAAUUUUUAUCCAAGUACUUUUGUUGAUAUAAAUGUACGGAUACUCUUACAGGGAACUUGGUAAGAAUAAUUAUGCAUCGGAUCCGAACAAUACACCUGUUCCAAAAGUUGAAGCCCCUGCACUAUAUAUAACGGGCGAGAAAGAUUACGUGUUCAAAUUUCCUGGAAUGGAGGACUACAUUAAGAGCGGAGUGGUGAAAACGUUUGUCCCCAACUUGGAAAUUAUCUACGAACCUGAAGGAACCCAUUUUAUUCAGGAGCAAUUUCCUGACAAGGUAAAUCAUCUAAUCCUCACUUUCCUCAAAAGCAACCUUCAGUCGUGAAAUUAGCAAAGGUAACUUAGUUGUGAGUGUGAUUUCCUUGGUGUUGAGUUUGUUAGAGUUCUGUAUCUUGAAUUGUUGGCUGGUGAAUGUAUGAUACAUUCCCCUCUUGUUACAAUAAAUCACAAUGUGUGCAACUUUAUUUAGUAGUAUGUGUUAGAAUUUGAGUUAAAAUAAAAGUGUGUUUUAAUAAUUAUUUUAAGUAAAUCCACAUAUCAAUGUGUUCUACUCCAUGAGUAGAUUAAAUUGAGUAUUUAUAAUCUCAAAUCCAUGAAGUAAUGAAUGAGAUAUUAACUCUCAAAGAUCACCUUUGAAAAUGAUAAAUGAUAAUAAAUAUAUGUGAGAAACUAACCCCCACAUCGGUUAAAAACUAAAAGUUUAAUAUAUUUAUAUACAAGGAAAUUGUUCUUGGGUUUGGGCAUCAAGGGGCACCCCACUGUUGUGGGUGGGAGAGGACCUAGCCAAGGCUUGGUUCGAACUCGAACACGCGCGCGGCAGACCUGGUUGCGAGUCCUUGUAUAUAAUUUUUUGCACAAAAUUUAUUUAAAUUUUUAAUUAAAAUUUAUUUUUUUUAGUUUUAAUUAUCAAAAUUGUGUCGUUUUGAUAAACAAUAUUUAUUACUAUACUACGUCGUUUUGUGAAGUGUUACUUGUCGAACGAACGCGUUUAAACUGCGUCGUUUUGGUAAAGGCUAUCUGCCUGAACAUGUGCUGCAAAACUACGUCGCUUUUGUUCCGAACGGACGCCUUUUCUGUUUAAAGCCAAAAUUACGUCGUUUUUGGCUUAAUCAUACUUUUUUAGUGGGUUGUGUCCCUUCUGAUGGGUCACUUACCCUACCAUAAAUCGAGAAGGGGGCUGUCAUUUUCAUUUAUUCAAUUUUCGAAGCAUAAUGCAAUCUAGUCUUCAUUUCACUAGUCAAUUAGAGUUAUUUUAGAGAGAGUUUAGAACAUUUUAUUUUGGUUCGUUGUGUAUGUUAUUUGGAGUGUUACUAUAACAUACAAUUGUCAUUGUUCUGGGAGACGAGUGUUAUUACGGAGGGCAUAAUUGUCUUUAAGAACAUAGUACUAAGUACUAGCUUUGACAAAUUUAUUUCUGCAAAAUAUAUAUAGUUUCCAUUCAAUUUUACUAACCGUAUGUGUCUACUUAAUAAAAAUAAAAGUAAUACAUCUUGAAUUCAGACCGAUUUUAUAAGGAAAUUUUUAUUUUCAUGGAAAAUGAAUGUUAGGUUAAAAUUUCCCGUGAAGACACGGAUGAUUAUUAAGUUUUAAUUCCCGUGAAAAAUGAGGCGGGUAUGAAGAAUUUUUCUUAAACCGGAAAUGGGAGUGGGAUGUGUAAUUUCUGCCCCGCCCGUUGCCAUUUUUAGACUGUCGUAUACAUUGAUUUUCAACAUCAUAAUAAGUCCUUGACAUUUACUACUAUUACAUAUUAUCGAAAUAAUAAUAUAUACAAGUAUUUGAGACCCUUAAUAUAGCCAAUCAUUUUUUAUACAAUUUAUAACCAACCACGUGUAUAUUUCUUGAGUUACAAAUUUUAAUAUUAUUAUUAAAAUUUUAAAAUUAAUGUGAACUAUUUUUAAACUUAAUAUUGAGAUAAUUUUAUUUAACAAUAUGAAAUUAUAAGUCAUCAUUGUAUUUGAUUAAAAUUAAAAGAAAUUUAAAUUUCAAAACAUAUUAAAUAAUACUCCCUCAAAUCUAAAAUUAAAUAUGCAUUUCUAAAAUGAUCACUUUUAAGAAUAAUUUUAUAUUCUCAAAUAUUAGCCAAUUUUUUUUUGAUAAUAUGCUAUUGAAAAUGAUAAUAAAAAAGCAAUCGCAAAUUAAAAAUAUCAAUAAUCUAUUUUUACCUCCUUUUCGUCUUGUCACUUUUUCGCACAGAGAUAAGUUGUUUGAUAAAAACUUUGAAUCUCCGUUUAACUCAGUAUGGAGAAUGGUUGGGGUAUGGUCAGAGAGAUCUCAAGGGUAAAAAAGAACUUCAAUUUUGCAGCCAAACAUCAUUAACAAACUCUUAAAAUAUAAAUUCAAAUAAAUAAAUAAACUUUAUUUUUAUAAAACAAAACUAGAAAAAAAAUUAUUUUUUAAAAGAUGUGUAAAUUUUCAUAAAAAUAAUUAAAACUUUAAUUUGUUUGAAUUUUUAUUUUAUAAAACUUUACUCAUUUUUUUAAAAAAAAUCUAAUUUUUUUCUUGAAAAUUAUAAUUAUUUUUAAAAGUUUUUAAUUUCUUUUUUUAAAAAAUUGCAUUUGUUUUUUUAUUUAAUUUUUACUAUUUUUGUAUUUUAUUUUCUAUUUUUAGUUUUUUUUUAAAAUUUAUAAUAUUAAAAAUACGUAUAAUAAUGGUAAAGACAUAUUUGGCCUUAAUAAAAUGGGUGGGAUCGGGCUAAAUUUUGGUCGAGUUACGAUUAAAUCCAGUAGAAAGAAUAGAAUUGACAAAAAUAUCACUUUAAAAAUCUAAUUAACAAAAAAUAAAUUUUAAGAACAUCUUUAGACUUUAAAAGUGAAUGAUAAUUUAAAGGCUUAAAUAUGAAUUAGUAUACUAAACUAUAGGUCAUAUUUCAUUUCGGUGAUUCACCUUUUAAUUUUGUCAAUUAAAUGAUUAAACUAUCAAUUUUUUUCAAUUUGACCAAAUUGAACAUGCCACGUCAGAAAUUGCUGACGUGGCUUAUUAUGUGGGGUCUUAAGAAGCUUAUGUGGCAAAAAAAUUUAUUUUUUAAUUAUUAAAUAAAUAAUUAUGUUUAAACAAAGAGCAAAACAGUCAAAACCUAAAUUAACAUUUCUAAUUAAUACAAAACAAACAUAUAUCAGCUGCUACCCUCAAAUGAUUUUGUUCAUUCUUUUGUGUUUAAUUGAUGAUACUUAUCUGGGAUUCACCUUCAACGCAACAGAUCUACCUUCCGAAGACUAUUACGACUACAUCAUUGUCGGCGGCGGCACUGCCAGUUGCCCACUUGUCGCGACCUUAGUAUCUCCGCAAGCGUUAAAUUGUGAUUUAAUUGUCAUUUGGACUCAGUUUCAGAUAAUAAGGUGAUCCAAGCAGAGUGGAAGAGAUGAUUUUGUAACAAGCAUGGAAGUUAUCGAGAAGAGGUUAAAGAAAAUUACUCUUUUGUUGUGGUUUCAUGUUGUGCUUCAAAUGAAUUUCAUUUUUUUUGAAGUAUAUGGUGUCUUUGUUUCCUUUGUCCUAGAUUAAGGAUGAAUCAGGGCUUCAGUUUUAAGGGUUUCUUCAUUUAGUUUUACCUCUGUUCAUAUACACAAUAUUAUUUUUUUUUCAUUAUUUUAUGCAACAGAAAAUUCAGAUGCGGGGAAGACAUUUUCCAAGUUCUAAUUAAGUUUAAUGUUUAUUGUAUUUCUUUUGGGGGUAUCAGCUAUGGUUGAAGGCCAGUGUAGUAUGUAUCUACAUAGUACAUAUGAUUUUUAAAAAUGUUUUAAUUUGCCCGAUUAAUUUUAAAAGUAGUCGUUUUCUUCCACCAUCUGCACAAGUCCAUAAAAUAAUUUAACGUAUAAACAUCAUAAACUGCAGGAGUUUUUGUUAUACAGAGCGGAGAUACAGAGCGGAGAUAUUAUAAGCAUGUCGGCGGCGUGCUGUGUUCAGAAAAUUUUUGCUUCGGUUGAGCUAGGGUUUAUCGUUCGAUUUGGGGAGAGAUGGUCUUGGUCGAUCGAUUGUAAUGGUCUACCAGCUGAUAUAUGUUUGUUUUAUAUUAAUUAGAAAUGUUAAUUUAGGUUUUGACCGUUUUGCCCUUUGUUUAAACAUAGUUGUUUAUUUAAUAAUUAAAAAAUAGUUUUUUUUUUGCCACAUAAGCUUCUUAAGGCCCCACAUAAUAAGUCACGUCAGCAAUUUUUGACGUGGUAUAUUCAAUUUGGUCCAAUUGAAAAAAAUUGAUAGUUUAAUCAUCUAAUUGAUAAAAUUAAAAGGUCAAUCACCGAAAUAGAAUAUGACCUAUAAUUUAGAGUACUAAUUCAUAUUUAAGCCUAAUUUAAAAGACACAAAAAUGUCAUUCAGUCGCAAAGCUCCAAGAUUUGGGACAAGCCAAGUUGUUGGCAGGAGGAGAAGGGAUAAUGAUGUGAGAGCUGGCUGGGUUCCAACCAACUUAUAAGUUCUUAAGUGUUUGACAAGUACUUAUUCUUAACUUAUAAAUUGAGUUUUAAGUAAAAAAAAAUAUAAUUAUUUAUGACUUAUUUAAAAAUGACUUGUGAGUUAUUUUAAAAUAAAUUAAUUUGAUCAAAUUUAAUGUUUAUUUUAUCCAUCUUUUUAUUAAUGUCUUUUUUAAUAAUUUUUACAUUUAUUUUAACUUAUAAAUUAUUAUAAGUCAAAAAAAAAAUCAUAACUUACUUUAACUUAAUUUUUGAUUUUUAAAUUAAAUUAAUGCCGAAUGUUUUUAUUUAUAAAUUAAAACUUAAAAUAACUUAUAAAUAAACUUAUAUUUUAAGUUAGAAAUCAUUUUAAAAUAAGUCAUUUCCGAACAAAAGAAGUACAAGGGUCACGACUCACGAGUGUUGAAAAAGCUUUGACCGAGAGAUACACAAAUCUUUGUAGUAUCCGAUGGUUAAAGGCCUGCUUUCCUGGACUGAUCUGAUUAGCUGGAUAAAGGCCUGCUUUCUUACCAAUAUUUGGACUGACCUGACUGAAAAGGAGAUUGAGAUGGACAAAUACUGAACUCGCAACAAAAUACCUCUUCAAUUCACUCUCUCAACUUCAAUAAUGGAGAUAAUAGAGCAUAAGUACAUAGAGGCCAAUGGACUAAAGCAUCACAUAGCUGAGAUCGGAACUCCUGCUUCGCCGGCGGUGUUGUUUCUCCACGGCUUCCCUGAGAUAUGGUACACCUGGCGCUACCAGAUGGCCGCCGUUGCUGCCGCCGGUUUCAGAGCCAUUGCGCCCGAUUAUCGUGGGUACGGACUAUCCGAUCCACCGCCCGAACCCGAGAAGGCCAGCUUUGCUGAUUUUGUCAGUGACAUGGCUGCAAUCCUUGAUG
rnacentral:lncRNA from 1 species